UACGGAGGGGGCGAGCGUUAUUCGGAAUUAUUGGGCGUAAAGCGCACGUAGGCGGCUUUGCAAGUCGGAUGUGAAAUCCCUCGGCUCAACCAAGGAAGUGCAUCCGAAACUGCAGAGCUUGAGUACGAAAGAGGAUCGCGGAAUUCCCGGUGUAGAGGUGAAAUUCGUAGAUAUCGGGAGGAACACCAGUGGCGAAGGCGGCGAUCUGGGUCGAUACUGACGCUGAGGUGCGAAAGCGUGGGGAGCAAACAGG
rnacentral:rRNA from 1 species